GACGAACGCUGGCGGCGUGCUUAACACAUGCAAGUCGAACGGAAAGGCCCUGCUUGCAGGGUACUCGAGUGGCGAACGGGUGAGUAACACGUGGGUGAUCUGCCCCGCACUUCGGGAUAAGCCUGGGAAACUGGGUCUAAUACCGGAUAGGAGCCAUUUUUAGUGUGAUGGUUGGAAAGUUUUUUCGGUGUAGGAUGAGCUCGCGGCCUAUCAGCUUGUUGGUGGGGUAAUGGCCUACCAAGGCGGCGACGGGUAGCCGGCCUGAGAGGGUGGACGGCCACAUUGGGACUGAGAUACGGCCCAGACUCCUACGGGAGGCAGCAGUGGGGAAUAUUGCACAAUGGGCGCAAGCCUGAUGCAGCGACGCCGCGUGGGGGAUGACGGCCUUCGGGUUGUAAACGCCUUUCGCUAGGGACGAAGCUUUUUGUGACGGUACCUAGAUAAGAAGCACCGGCUAACUACGUG
rnacentral:rRNA from 1 species